rnacentral:tRNA from 1 species
GGAGAGUUGGCAGAGUGGCUUAUUGCAACGGUCUUGAAAACCGUCUAUCGGAAACGGUACAAGGGUUCAAAUCCCUUACUCUCCUCCA